GCCUGGUCAGUGGCGGGAGGUGAGGGAAAGAAAUUCAGCAAAGCACCCUUUGGUGGGGCUGCUCUAAGGAGCCAGCUUUGUUAUCUGCCUUGCUGCUGGUCUCAGAGAGGCUGCAGGGAAAUCUGCUGAUUUAUUUUCUUAAAUAGCAUCAAAUGAUGACAGUUAAGAGCCUACCACAAGAAAAUGGGCUCUUAGGGCAGCAUUACUUGUCUUGUGUACAAGGCUUUAUUGAAUUAACUUUGUACUAGAACCACUCUACACUUCCUUUGCUGGAGAGGACAAUCUAACUUAACUGCGGGAUAAAAUUUUACAACCAUAUUUUUGUUAUGCAGGUGACUUGCAUAAAACAUUCUUUACAUGCAUUAAUAUCAUCUGAGUUUUGCCAAGGCUAUAAAGCAGGAUGUCUCUCAGCCAUCUUAUCUCUGUCUUAAUGCUGCACUCAUCCCUGUGUUGAAAAAGGAUCGUUGAAACAGAAGAAUAGAAAUAAUCACUGGACCAUUUAAUGUAACCUUGUGUAUCACAUGAUGCAGGAGUUACUUAAUGAAAUUCCCUGGCCCAAACCAAGCAAAUCUGUGGUAAAUCCAGAGCACAUAUUUUCGGAUGACAGCCAAAACGAUGAAAGGAAUUUACUACCCAGCCUCGCUAAUAAUCAUUUUGAAUGCUUAACUGGGCUCCCUAAUAUGUUGCUUUGCAAGCAGCAAAACCGAUACAGCCUCAUUCCCUACACAUCGCUCUCCUCCAGCCUUGUCCAGGCCGUGCACCUGGAAAAACCUCCCAGCACACUGCCAGCCCUGUCCAGGGGCAGGGUGGCCAGCUGUGCCUGCUGUGAGUGCUGGAUGGCCAGCUGCCCACCUCUGGGAAGAGACCUCUGCAGGCCCGAACCUCUGCUGCCUCUCCCUCCACAGCAUGUGGGUUCGGGGGUUGCUCUUUGCUCAGCUUAUUUAAAAUUCUAGAGAAAAGAGUUCUGCCCCAUCAGCUUUGGAGAUAGUUGUUUAACAUGGUAGAGAACAAGCUGAGCCUGCGUAACCCAAGACAACCAAUUCCUUUAGCAGAAAGAGUGUCUUCUGUCAUCAAAAAGAGCCAUCUGGAAGAGCGUUGGCUCCCUGCCAGGAACAACCCUUUAGCAACCACUCGACAUGCACUUUAAGUUGUAAUGUUCAUAACGGCACAACCUGGAGUGUUGGUAAAGGGCCUAUUGGAGGAGCAACGUACUCCUCCUCCCGCAGUAACCGCAAAAGGAUGUUCUUCUUAUUCUUUGGCCAGUUAUAAAUGUGGGUGUUCUGCAGCCAGGUAGGCACGUGUUCCUGAAAAAAACAAGGAAAAUAAACACUAAAUCCUGUAAAUCCUCCUGAAUCUGUACCAGAACCUUGCAGAUUCUGUCAGACUCUGCCAAGCAAGAUUUCAUUUUGUCUGUUCUAGGCACUUCAUGUAACAACAAGAAAUUUUAAUUUGGCUUCAGAAUUGUAUUUGGGUUCCUAAAUAAAUGAACUUUGUGUGAUCUCACA